GUGCUACAGCAGCACAGAUACUAAAAUUGGAAUGAUAAAAGGACAAUUAGCACUUCCCCUGCUUAAGGAUGACAUGCAAAUUUGUGAAGCAUUUCAUAUUUAA